AUAGGGGAGCCGCAGGGAAACCGAGUCUUAACUGGGCGUUAAGUUGCAGGGUAUAGACCCGAAACCCGGUGAUCUAGCCAUGGGCAGGUUGAAGGUUGGGUAACACUAACUGGAGGACCGAACCGACUAAUGUUGAAAAAUUAGCGGAUGACUUGUGGCUGGGGGUGAAAGGCCAAUCAAACCGGGAGAUAGCUGGUUCUCCCCGAAAGCUAUUUAGGUAGCGCCUCGUGAAUUCAUCUUCGGGGGUAGAGCACUGUUUCGGCUAGGGGGUCAUCCCGACUUACCAACCCGAUGCAAACUACGAAUACCGAAGAAUGUUAUCACGGGAGACACACGGCGGGUGCUAACGUCCGUCGUGAAGAGGGAAACAACCCAGACCGCCAGCUAAGGUCCCAAAGUCAUGGUUAAGUGGGAAACGAUGUGGGAAGGCCCAGACAGCCAGGAUGUUGGCUUAGAAGCAGCCAUCAUUUAAAGAAAGCGUAAUAGCUCACUGGUCGAGUCGGCCUGCGCGGAAGAUGUAACGGGGCUAAACCAUGCACCGAAGCUGCGGCAGCGACACUAUGUGUUGUUGGGUAGGGGAGCGUUCUGUAAGCCGUUGAAGGUGGCCUGUGAGGGUUGCUGGAGGUAUCAGAAGUGCGAAUGCUGACAUAAGUAACGAUAAUGCGGGUGAAAAACCCGCACGCCGGAAGACCAAGGGUUCCUGUCCAACGUUAAUCGGGGCAGGGUGAGUCGACCCCUAAGGCGAGGCCGAAAGGCGUAGUCGAUGGGAAACAGGUUAAUAUUCCUGUACUUGGUGUUACUGCGAAGGGGGGACGGAGAAGGCUAUGUUGGCCGGGCGACGGUUGUCCCGGUUUAAGCAUGUAGGCGGAUGUUCCAGGUAAAUCCGGAACGUCACUAACGCUGAGGUGUGAUGACGAGGCACUACGGUGCUGAAGUGACAAAUGCCCUGCUUCCAGGAAAAGCCUCUAAGCAUCAGGUAACAUCAAAUCGUACCCCAAACCGACACAGGUGGUCAGGUAGAGAAUACCAAGGCGCUUGAGAGAACUCGGGUGAAGGAACUAGGCAAAAUGGUGCCGUAACUUCGGGAGAAGGCACGCUGAUGGUAAGUGAAGUGACUUGCUCAUGGAGCUGAAAUCAGUCGAAGAUACCAGCUGGCUGCAACUGUUUAUUAAAAACACAGCACUGUGCAAACACGAAAGUGGACGUAUACGGUGUGACGCCUGCCCGGUGCCGGAAGGUUAAUUGAUGGGGUUAUCCUCACGGAGAAGCUCUUGAUCGAAGCCCCGGUAAACGGCGGCCGUAACUAUAACGGUCCUAAGGUAGCGAAAUUCCUUGUCGGGUAAGUUCCGACCUGCACGAAUGGCGUAAUGAUGGCCAGGCUGUCUCCACCCGAGACUCAGUGAAAUUGAACUCGCUGUGAAGAUGCAGUGUACCCGCGGCAAGACGGAAAGACCCCGUGAACCUUUACUAUAGCUUGACACUGAACACUGGUCCUUGAUGUGUAGGAUAGGUGGGAGGCUUUGAAGUGUGGACGCCAGUCUGCAUGGAGCCGUCCUUGAAAUACCACCCUUUAAUGGCUGGUGUUCUAACGUGGGCCCGUGAUCCGGGUUGCGGACAGUGUCUGGUGGGUAGUUUGACUGGGGCGGUCUCCUCCUAAAGAGUAACGGAGGAGCACGAAGGUCAGCUAAUCCUGGUCGGACAUCAGGAGGUUAGUGCAAUGGCAUAAGCUGGCUUGACUGCGAGCGUGACGGCGCGAGCAGGUGCGAAAGCAGGUCAUAGUGAUCCGGUGGUUCUGAAUGGAAGGGCCAUCGCUCAACGGAUAAAAGGUACUCCGGGGAUAACAGGCUGAUACCGCCCAAGAGUUCAUAUCGACGGCGGUGUUUGGCACCUCGAUGUCGGCUCAUCACAUCCUGGGGCUGAAGUAGGUCCCAAGGGUAUGGCUGUUCGCCAUUUAAAGUGGUACGCGAGCUGGGUUUAGAACGUCGUGAGACAGUUCGGUCCCUAUCUGCCGUGGGCGCUGGAGAAUUGAGGGGGGCUGCUCCUAGUACGAGAGGACCGGAGUGGACGCAUCACUGGUGUUCGGGUUGUCAUGCCAAUGGCAUUGCCCGGUAGCUAAAUGCGGAAGAGAUAAGUGCUGAAAGCAUCUAAGCACGAAACUUGCCCCGAGAUGAGUUCUCCCUGACUCCUUGAGAGUCCUGAAGGAACGUUGAAGACGACGACGUUGAUAGGCCGGGUGUGUAAGCGCAGCGAUGCGUUGAGCUAACCGGUACUAAUGAACCGUGAGGCUUAACCUU
rnacentral:rRNA from 1 species